ACUCAAAUGAAUUGACGGGGGCCCGCACAAGCGGAGGAACAUGUGGUUUAAUUCGAUGAUACGCGAGGAACCUUACCUGGGCUUAAAUGUAGAGUGCAUGUGGUGGAAACACCCUUCCCUUCGGGGCUUUCUACAAGGUGCUGCAUGGUUGUCGUCAGCUCGUGCCGUGAGGUGUCGGGUUAAGUCCCAUAACGAGCGCAACCCCUACCGUUAGUUGCCAUCAGGUCAAGCUGGGGACUCUAGCGGGACUGCCACCGUAAGGUGAGAGGAAGGUGGGGAUGACGUCAAAUCAGCACGGCCCUUAUGUCCAGGGCUACACACGUGUUACAAUGGCAGGUACAAAGGGCAGCUACACCGUGAGGUGAUGCUAAUCUCUAAAGCCUGUCCCAGUUCGGAUUGGAGUCUGCAACCCGACUCCAUGAAGUUGGAUUCGCUAGUAAUCGCGCAUCAGCCAUGGCGCGGUGAAUACGUUCCCGGGCCUUGUACACACCGCCCGU
rnacentral:rRNA from 1 species